CCCAGAACCAGUCUCCCGACACGCGGGCAGAAACCAAGGAAUCCUCCUCGAGCGCAAGCACCAGGCAGCGGCGAUCUGAUGGGCAAACACCACUGGAGACAGAGCAACCAACAGGAGAACAACAAACAUUAAGCAGGUCUUACCUCACUGACUACUGGACCAGACAAUAUUAUCAGAAGACUACAAGGUAUGCGAAAAGAGGCGGCAGUGGUGCUGAGUAAUAGACAGAGGCAGAAGGCCCGUACAACCAAAAUGGCGUCAACAGCUGCGAACAUGCAAUACACCAUGCGGUCAGGCCUAACCACCGUGUAAUAAACAAACCAUCCCAUACAACAUCACAAUAUUGCAUCAUUUUGUCUCUUACACAAACAACAAAUAAAACACUAAUAAUCUGAUGUUUU